rnacentral:rRNA from 1 species
UACAGAGGGGGCAAGCGUUAUUCGGAAUUAUUGGGCGUAAAGGGCGCGUAGGCGGCUUUGCAAGUGACGGGUGAAAUCCCUCGGCUUAACCGAGGAACUGCCUGUCAGACUGCAUGGCUUGAGACCGGGAGAGGUGAGUGGAAUUCCCAGUGUAGCGGUGAAAUGCGUAGAUAUUGGGAGGAACACCAGUGGCGAAGGCGGCUCACUGGACCGGUACUGACGCUGAUGGCGCGAAAAGCGUGGGGAGCAACAGG